CAAAGUUCUUUCACUCUUCUCAAUCUCAUCAUUUUCUUCCCUCUCUUCUCUGACAGCUGCCGCCACCGCCACCAGCAUUCAUCACUUUCUUCCAUCUCUGUCGUCAGUCAUCAUUUACAUUGUGCUCAUUGUCGCCACCACCGUGCUCAGCCAUCGCCACUAUCAUGCCCAGUCGUGUCUGUCUCAGAAGCUCAGGUCUACUUGUGGCUAGAUCAGCAUCCGAAGCAACGUUGAACGCCUUAACUUUCUCUCAGAUCCUCUCGGAAACUUCUUCCAUCUCAGGAUGAAUUAGUUGCAACACAUAAAGAUGAGGACAUCUUGACUGAAUCAUUGGGUUCCAAGGAGCACAGUAGACGUGUAAGAGGCGUGGGUGAUUUUGUCUCUCAAUCACAAUAUUUUAACACAGUAAAAGGGAAGGAGAAAAUGUUAACUCCUGAAGUUGCAAUAUAUCAUGAAGAAGAGGAUGACUCGAGAUGCAAAAAUUACAAGAAGAGAAGUAAUCACUCGAGGUCAUCCAUUGGAACUAUUAACAUAGAUCUUGGUGCUGAUAAGGAUAUGGGCAACACACCUAGCAACUAAGAAAUUGAGGAGCAUUCAAUCAUGAAGGGAUGUCAUGUAUUCUUCAAAUUACACGGACGUUAACAAGGCUAGUAAGCUCUUAAAUAGACAUGUUGUGAACAACAUAAAGGAUGUAGACAAUAUUUGCAUCCCAAUGAACGAGCUAAUAUUUGGAAGAGACAAAUUUAUUUAUUUAGCUCGUGAAGACUUGUUGCAUUACUACAGCAUGGUUGAAAUAGGUUAUAUGUGUAUACUAGCAUACAUUACAUAUCUUUGGGAUGAAUGUGACUGUGCAAGGAAGUUUUUUGUUGUUGACCAAUCAAAAAUAUCGUUACAUAUCAAGGAUCGUGAUCUUCGAUCCAGAAAUCUAACCAACCAGUUAGAAGUGGCUAACUUGGAACAAAUAGUUCUAAUUCCAUAUAAUACCAGAAAUUUAUGUUUAUGUCUUAGACUCUCUUUGGAGUAAAGUCAAUGAAGACAUUCAUGGAUUCAUAAAUGUAGGGUUGAAGACAUGGCAAGCUGAACACGAUCUACAACGCUAUCGGUCAACUCCAAAAUGGAAACCUGUAAAGGGUGGGGGUUCUAUGUGCAAAAGUACAUACAAGAGAUAUUAUAUAAUUCUAAUACUCCUAUUACUAGCCUUGUAAGUUCCUACUUUCACUUUUUAUAUGUUAUAAUUUAUGAUCUAAACUCAUUCUUUACAUAGUCAACUCAAGGGUGAAAUAACAGAGCUCAAAGCGCAGAAUCAGGAGUUCCAAACACAACUUAUUGCAAUGAGGGCAUAAAAUGAGGCGAUAAGGGAAUAUAAUGUAUUGAAAGCAAUUACCAACAACCCAAGACUUACGUGGAAACCCGAGAACCAGGAGAAAAACUACGAUACUUUUAUUUUUAUUAUUUUUCUUAUGAACGAAUACAAUAGGUACAAAAUAAAUAGAGUACAAUAGGAGUAAGAAAGGAAAAGAUCUAGGAAAGAUUUGGGAAACAAAAUCUUAUAUAUUAUUCUUUCCAAAAAUACUCUAAGGGCAAAGCCCUACUAAUUCUAACACUCCCCCUCAAGUUGGGACGUAAAUAUCAAUGAGUCCCAACUUGCUGACACAAAGGUCGAAGUGUGGUCUGAGAAGCUCCUUGGUGAGAACAUCAGCAACCUGUUGGCUUGAAGGAAUGUACGGAAUGCAUAUGCUUCCACUGUCAAGUUUUUCUUUGAUGAAAUGUCGAUCAAUCUCAACAUGUUUAGUUCGAUCAUGUUGAACUAGGUUGUUAGCAAUACUAAUAGCGGCUUUAUUAUCACAAAAAAGCUUUAAUGGUGUCUCACAUUCCUGAUGAAGAUCUGAUAGGACUUUCUGGAGCCAAAUUUCCUCACAUAUUCUCAAACUCAUAGCUUUAUAUUCAGCCUCAACACUGCUCCUGGCCACAACACUUUGCUUUUUACUCCUUCAAGUUACAAGAUUGCCCCAAACAAAGGUACAAUAACCGGAGGUAGACUUUCUGUCAAUAACAGAUCCUGCCCAAUCUGAGUCAGUAUAUGUCUCAAUGGUCUUUCUAUUUUUUUUUUCUAAACAUCAACCUUUUACCAGGUGUAUUUUUCAAGUAUCUUAGGAUUCUGUUAACAGCUUCCAUAUGUUUCUCAUAGGGAGCCUGCAUAAACUGGCUGACAACACUCACAGCAAAGGAAAUAUCAGGACGAGUAUGAGAUAAGUAAAUUAAUUUACCUACAAGGCGCUGAUAUUGUUCUUUAUCAACUGAAACUUGAUCAUCAGAGUUUCCUAGUUUACAGUUAAAUUCAAUAGGAGUAUCAGCAGGACGACAUCCUAACAUAUCUGUCUCGGUUAGCAAAUCAAAGGUGUAUUUUCUCUAAGACACAGAGAUACCUUCUUUAGAUCUGGCCACCUCCAUUCCAAGGAAAUAUUUCAGAUUUUCCAAAUCCUUGAUUUCAAAUUCAUCACCCAUUCUCUGCUUUAGUUGACUGAUUUCUGUUUGAUCAUCUACAGUCAAAACAAUGUCAUCCAUAUAAACUAUUAGAAUAGCAAUCUUUCCUGUCUUGGAAACCUUUGUAAAUAAAGUAUGGUCAAAGUGCCCUUGACUGUACUCUUGGGACUUGACAAAGGUAGUGAAUCUGUCAAACCAUGCUUUGGGAGACUGUUUCAGACCAUAUAGGGAUUUUUGGAGUUUACACACCUGCUGACCAAAUUGGGCUUCAAAUUCUGGCGGGGGGCUCAUGUAGACUUCCUCCACAAGGUCUCCAUUCAAAAAAGCAUUCUUAACAUCCAGCUGGUAUAGAGGCCAAUCUUUGUUCACAGCAACAGAUAGCAGGACUCUAACAGUAUUCAACUUAGCAACUGGAGAAAAGGUUUCUGAAUAGUCAAUACCAUAUGUCUGAGUAAAUCCCUUUACAACUAACCUUGCCUUGUGUCUAUUAAGCGUACCAUCUGCUUUGUAUUUGAGAGAGAACACUCAUUUGCAUCCUACAGUUUUAUGUCCCUUGAGUAGAGCACAGAUUUCCUAAGUUCUAUUCUUUUCAAGAGUCUUCAUCUUUUCCAUAACAACAUUCUUCCAUUCAGGACACUCUAGAGUAGUGUAGAUAUUUUUCGGUAUUAUGGUAGAGUCAAGGCUUGCUGUAAACACUCUAAAUUGUGGAGAGAGAUUAUCAUAGGAAACAUAGUUGCAAAUGGGAUGUUUAGUGCAGGAUUUAGUACCUUUUCUCAAUGCAAUUGGAAUGUCAAGAGAGGGAUCAUACUCAUCAUGUUUCCUUGUAUGACCUUGUUCAGCUUCAUCGUUACUGGUUUUUAUUCUAACCUCAAUCUCAUCACCAUGGUUCUUUUCUUCCAUAUUUUCAAGAACAGCAACAUCAGACCUGUCAUUCUCACUCAUCGUAUUAUUAGUACAAGGUUCUGUAGGGUUUUCCAUACCUUGGUCUCGAAGAGGUUCGAAAUCUUGGACUGGAGUCGGCGGUUGACUAGUAAGGGACCCAACUUCCUUUCUGAGAUUCCUCUUAUAAUAUGUUUUUCCAGGGAACUUGGUUUGUGGGUAAGAUUAUGGGAUGAGGAUCAACGUCAGAUACGGUACUAGGAGUAGGUUCAAUAAAUUCAAAGGUGUUGUUAGACUCUUCACUCACACUCUCUCCCUGAAGAUGGCUAACGGGAAAGUAGGGUCGGUUUUCACAGAAAGUAACAUCCAUUGUGACAAAAUAUUUCCUAGACGGCGGGUGAAAACAUUUAUAACCACGCUGGUGAGGGGGAUACCCAACAAACACACAAGCCUGAGCCCGAGGGGUAAAUUUGGUUUGAUUAGGGACAAAAUUAUGGACAAAAGCGAUACACCCGAACACACGAAGAGGAAUCUCAGAGACAAGGCGAGUAGAGGGGUAAGACUCCUUAAGACAAUCUAAAGGAGUCUAAAGGUGGAGGAUACGAGAAGGCAUUCUAUUGAUUAAAUGAGCGGCUGUAAGAAUAGCAUCUCCUCACAGGUAUGAUAGAAGGGAAGUGGAAAGCGUAAGUGAACGGGCUACUUCCACAAGGUGACGAUUUUUUCUUUCAGCCACCCCAUUUUGUUGAGGAGUGUAGGCACACGAGGUUUGGUGAACAAUCCCUUUUGAGGUUAGAAAUUUACUAAGGUUAUGGUUUUGGAAUUCACAACCAUUAUCACUCCGAAGAAUUGCAAUUUUUGUAUGAAAUUUUAUUUUGAUAGUAUGAUAGAAGUUUUGGAAAAUGGAUAGAACCUCAGAUUUAUCUAUGAUAAGGUAGACCUAGGUAAGACGGGUAUGGUCAUCGAUGAAAGUUACAAACCAUCGCUUUCCCGAGGAGGCGGUGACCUUGGAAGGACCCCAAAUGUCACUAUGAAUGAAGGUAAACGGUUGUGUAGGUCUAUAUGGUUGUGAGGGAAAAGAGACCCGAUGUUGUUUAGCCUGGAUACACACAUCACAAGAUAGAGAAGAGACAUCAAGUUUAGAAAAAAGGUAGGGAAAUAAAUAUUGCAUAUAUGUAAAGUUUGGGUGGCCCAGUCGAAAAUGCCACAAGAUACAGUCUUAUUCAGAAGUGAAAAAGUAGGAUGACAGUAAACUAACCUUAGACAAACUACUACAUGAGGUAUCAUCAUCAAGGAUGUAGAGUUCCCUGCUAUGUCGGGUAGUGCCAAUCAUCCUCCCCGAGCUCAUGUCCUGAAAAUAAAUCGAUUCAAGUAAGAAGAUAACUUUAUAAUGCAACUCACAAGUGAUCUUGCUUAUAGAUAAUAAAUUGCAAGACAGUUUAGGGACAUGUAAAAUAUUCUGGAGAGUAAAACAAUCAAAGGAAACUAUUUGUCCUUUACCAGCGAUCGGAGCUAGAGAGCCAUCGGUUAUUUGGAUUUUUUUCAUUACCGACACACGGGGCAUACGAGAUAAAGUGUUCCGAAGAACCUGUCAAGUGAUCUGUAGCCCCCGAGUCUAAGAUCCAGGGAUUCUUUCCAUCAACGCUAAUAAGCCCAAGGGACUGAGGCAUACCUGACUGAGCAAUGGCACCCAGAGUAGGAGUCUUAGUUUGGCUCGCAGUAGGAUCAGUUGAUUGAGAAGUGCUGGCAAGGAUAGUCUCACUAAUGUAGGCACGUCUUGAGUUCUGUUUCUCGUGGGAGGACCGUUUCUUACAUCCUGGGGACAACCGUGGAGUUUCCAACACUGAUCCUUAGUGUGCCAAUGUUUCUUGCAGUGCUCACACAUAGGAAUUGACUUUCCAUUAUUCUUGUCACCGUCAUGGUUUGAGGACCGAGUGUUAAAGACAGUGGAGUCAAUGGUAGGGGUAGUCAGUACACCUAUGGCAUUAGUGCGAUCUUCUUCCAAGUGGACAUCAAAACAAACUUCCAUUAAGGAGGGAAGAGGUCUUUGUCCGAGUACACGACCACAAACAGUAUCAAAUUUGGGAUUAAGUCCUGCAAGAAAGUCAUAAACACGGUCAGCCUCUUCAAGUUUAGCAUAUUGUGUACCGUCAUUUGGUGUGUCCUAAACUCUCUCUGCACAAAUCCAUCUCUUUCCAGAGGAGAGAGAGCUUGUUAAACAGGUGAACGUCCAGGGCCCCUUGUUUGUAAUUAUGGACCUGUUUUCGCAGUGUAUACAACCGAGGCGCAUUCUAUCGUUUCGAGUAAAGGGUCUGGGUUAUAUCCCACAAAUCUUUUGUUGUGGCUGCAUAUAGUAGAGGCUUGCCGAUCUAUGGUUCCAUACUAUUAAUCAGCAUGGACCAAAUAAGUGAGUCCUCCCCUUUCUAAAGUUAUUCCAAGGCGUCUCCUGGUAGAGGACGUACAAUCUCUCCAAUUAAGAAGUCGAACUGGUGGCGACCUUCGAGGAACAUCUUUAUUGAUUGGGACCACGAAAAAUAAUUUUGCCCAUUUAAUUUUUCACCUGAAAAAUUUCCUGUAGACGAACCCAAAGAGCCAGUUAUAUAAUUUGACGGUAACUUAGGGAACGAAAUUACCAGAUUCUUGGAAUACAACAGCAACUCGGUUGGUUUGGAAUGUGUCGAAGACUCACCCGCUUCAAUGUCUGAUCUGUUCUAGGGUUGAUUAAUUUUGUUACCAAAAAACAUCGAUUUCUGUAAAGAGUUAACGUACAACGGAUGCUUACUAUAUAAAUUUGAUAGAUUUACGGUUGAGGGUUGUUAUCUGGAGCUCAUAGGUGACGCGUGAGAAUGCGGAUGGCCGAAAGGGUUUGACGAUUGGACGUCCAACGGUGCGUAGAAGGGAAUGGGUUGGGCGGUUUCUAUAGGUUCUAGAGUAGUUUCUCCAUAGCGGCGGCGGCGGCGUCCACGGUGGCGACGAUCUCGGCGACGGCGAUAGUGACGGGUUCAGUUUCGAUCUGGGUUUCUCCCAAGUUGUUUUCUAGGAUUUCGUUAUUGUUUUGCUUUGAUACCAUAUUGAAAACAAUUAACAACAACCCAAGACUUACGUGGAAACCCAAGAACUAGGAGAAAAACCACGAUAUUUUUAUUUUUAUUAUUUUUCUUAUCAACGAAUACAAUACGUACAAAGGGAGAGAAUAAAUAGAGUACAAUAGGAGUAAGAAAGGAAAAGAUCUAGGAAAGAUUUAGGAAACAAAAUCUUAUAUAUUAUUCUUUCCAAAAAUACUCUAAGGGCAAAGCCUUACUAAUUUAACGUAAUGAAACCUGACUGGUUUGUAGAGAAGCCGGCUGCGAGGUGAGACACACAAUUCACCACGUUAUUAAGAUAUCAACAUUUAUUAAUGGUAGCACCAUUCCAGUGCCUCAGGUUCCACAGAACAUAGUAAGACCCCUAACGGGUUUUGACCCGACGAUUGGAGCAAGGAGGAAUCAACAACCUCCGCCACCACCACCACCGUGUAGCUUUAAAAGCGGAUUGUUCUGUAUUUUUGAAUAUUUCUUAUUUUUGCGACUUUUUUAAAUCUUCACUUAUGUAAUUUAUAUUCCUUGUAUUUAUGAUUUUUCAAUACAAGUACAUACUUUGACAAA